rnacentral:rRNA from 1 species
CCUACGGGUGGCAGCAGUGAGGAAUAUUGGUCAAUGGACGCAAGUCUGAACCAGCCAUGCCGCGUGCAGGAAGACGGCUCUAUGAGUUGUAAACUGCUUUUGUACGGGGGUAAACGCAGAUACGCGUAUCUGUCUGCAAGUAUCUUACGAAUAAGGAUCGGCUAACUCCGUGCCAGCAGCCGCGGUAAUACGGAGGAUUCAAGCGUUAUCCGGAUUUAUUGGGUUUAAAGGGUGCGUAGGCGGUCGGAUAAGUCAGAGGUGAAAUCCCGGGGCUCAACUUCGGAAUUGCAUCUGAUACUGGUAGGCGAGAGAGUAGUUGCGGUAGGCGGAAUGUAUGGUGUAGCGGUGAAAUGCUUAGAGAUCAUACAGAACACCGAUUGCGAAGGCAGCCUACCAAGCUACUUCUGACGUUGAGGCACGAAAGCGUGGGGAGCAAACAGGAUUAGAUACCCGAGUAGUC